UACAGAGGGUGCAAGCGUUAAUCGGAAUUACUGAGCGUAAAGGGCGCGUAGGCGGUGUAAUAAGUUAGAUGUGAAAUCCCUGGGCUUAACCUAGGAACUGCAUUUAAGACUGUUAUGCUAGAGUGCGGUAGAGGAUAGCGGAAUUUCCGGUGUAGCGGUGAAAUGCGUAGAUAUCGGAAGGAACACCAGUGGCGAAGGCGGCUAUCUGGACUGACACUGACGCUGAGGCGCGAGAGCGUGGGGAGCAAACAGG
rnacentral:rRNA from 1 species